AUUGAACGCUGGCGGCAGGCCUAACACAUGCAAGUCGAGCGAGCGGCGGACGGGUGAGUAAUGUCUGGGAAACUGCCUGAUGGAGGGGGAGAACUACUGGAAACGGUAGCUAAUAUCGCAUACCAUCAGAUGUGUCCAGAUGGGAUUAGCUAGUAGGUGGGGUAAUGGCUCACCUAGGCGACGAUCCCUAGCUGGUCUGAUAGGAUGACCAGCCACACUGGAACUGAGACACGGUCCAGACUCCUACGGGAGGCAGCAGUGGGGAAUAUUGCACAAUGGGCGCAAGCCUGAUGCAGCCAUGCCGCGUGUAUGAAGAAGGCCUUCGGGUUGUAAAGUACUUUCAGCGGGGAGGCGUUACCCGCAGAAGAAGCACCGGCUAACUCCGUGCCAGCAGCCGCGGUAAUUC
rnacentral:rRNA from 1 species